rnacentral:rRNA from 1 species
AGAAUGAACGCUGGCGGCAUGCCUAACACAUGCAAGUCGAACGAAGCCUUCGGGCUUAGUGGCGCACGGGUGCGUAACGCGUGGGAAUCUACCCUUCGGUUCGGAAUAACAGCGAGAAAUUGCUGCUAAUACCGGAUGAUGACGUAAGUCCAAAGAUUUAUCGCCGAGGGAUGAGCCCGCGUAGGAUUAGCUAGUUGGUGUGGUAAAGGCGCACCAAGGCGACGAUCCUUAGCUGGUCUGAGAGGAUGAUCAGCCACACUGGGACUGAGACACGGCCCAGACUCCUACGGGAGGCAGCAGUGGGGAAUAUUGGACAAUGGGCGAAAGCCUGAUCCAGCAAUGCCGCGUGAGUGAUGAAGGCCUUAGGGUUGUAAAGCUCUUUUACCCGGGAUGAUAAUGACAGUACCGGAGAAUAAGCUCCGGCUAACUCCGCGCCAGCAGCCGC